rnacentral:tRNA from 1 species
GGGGCCGUAGCUCAGCUGGGAGAGCGCGAGAGUGGCACUCUCGAGGUCACGGGUUCGAUCCCCGUCGGCUCCA